rnacentral:rRNA from 1 species
UUUAAUGGCCGCAGUAUUUUGACUGUGCAAAGGUAGCAUAAUCAUUAGUUUUUUAAUUAGAAACUGGAAUGAAGGGUUGAACGAAAAAAUAACUGUCUCAUAAUUAAAUUUUUAGAAUUUUAUUUUUAAGUUAAAAAGCUUAAAUAAUUUUAAAAGACGAGAAGACCCUAUAGAGUUUUAUAUACAAUUUUAUUAAAAUAUUAUUAAGAAUAAUUAAAAUUUUAUUUUUGAUUAUAUUUGAUUGGGGUGAUUAAAAAAUUUGAUUAACUUUUUAUAUUGGUUAAACAUUAAUUUAUGAAUUAUUGAUCCAUUAAUUAUGAUUAUAAGAUUAAAUUACCUUAGGGAUAACAGCGUAAUUUUUUUUAAGAGUUCUUAUCAAUAAAAAAGUUUGCGACCUCGAUGUUGGAUUAAAAUAUAAUUUUGGUGUAGAAGCUAAAAUUUUAGGUCUGUUCGACCUUUAAAAUUUUACAUGAUCUGAGUUUAAACCGGUGUAAGCCAGGUUGGUUUCUAUCUUUAAAUUAAUAAGAUAUUUUAGUACGAAAGGACCAAAUAUUUAAAAUUAUUUUUUUAUGUAAUGAAUAUUAUUAAUAA